CAUACUAUAGACUCCUAAAAACAAAAUUGGUGGGUCAAAGGCCAAAUUCAUACAUAUUUAAAUAGAUGCUGUCAAAUUGCCAGCAUACCUUAUUUUUCAUUUCCAAGUCUUCUCCCACCCAGUGUAUGAGGUCACUGGUUUCCCAAAUCCUCUUCAACAGAAAGCUACUAAAUUUUGGGUCCUGGCCCAGGUGAUAGAUGAAGAUAGAAAGCCUAACUCCUCUCCAUUAGUUUAAACCAGACUCAUUCACUUCAACAGCACAUUUAACAUACACGGGGCUCAAUUCCAGCCACCCCUUUACCCUAUACAGCAAGAGCUUUGCUUGUGGCUGAUGAUUCCUUCAGUUAGCUGAGACUUGUGUGACUCCCAAUAUCUCAAUGAUAGACUCAUAGAUGGGGUAUUAGUUUCUAGAAAAGCAAAUGAUUUUCCUGCCCAAACGCUGCCCAUCCAGCUCCAUGUUGAGACCAGUUAAAAGAGCCUGAGUCAGAUAGAUAGGGAUAAAAUAUGUGUAUUAACUCUGUGUAAAGCCGAUUGCAGUCUGAGGCUAAGACCUGGAAACAGAUGGUAUUCUAAUACCUGCCUCUACCCAGACAAAAACCUGAUUAAAUCCACACUCCCAAUCACAGACUAGCAGGGAGGGUAGAGCCUCCUUUGCCAGAGUGGCGGCCAUGAUUACGGGGUCUGAGAGGAGAGCGCCUGAGGUCAUAUCGCCUGGCCCAGAGGAAACCAGAGCAGGCUCUACCUAUAAGGUCCACCCAACACGAGCACAUUGCUGAGGGUUGACAAAAGAGCCAGGCUGCAAGGCCAGGGGCAUCCGUUGUGUUCCCUGGUAUCUCUUCCUCUUGAAAUAAGGAAGUUGUCACCCUCCCAGCAGAGAAAGAGAAGGGAAUACUCCACUAAUUGUUUGACCUUAGGGGGCAAAGUUAUUAUGAGAAUAGGGUCUUUGGGGAGGGAACAAGAUGUUAAGAAGAAUGAGGACUGUAUUCAUUCAGCCACCAACACAUUCUGAAUGAUGAUUCGCCACAGAAAUGCCAGGCCCUGGACUGGGACCAGGCGCUACAAAGAGAGACAUUGUAGAAGACACCUACGUUCGCAAAGCAUCCUUACCCAGAUGUAAGCGGACUUCAAGCUAGCAUGUUAAAGGAAUAGAGAAGGGCUUUUGAGCUUGGCUAGGAAGGGUGAGUUGGGCAGUGGACUACCUCCUGUGCAACAGAGUUUUGCAGAAGAUGAAGGCCAGACCAGAAUAAAACAAAAGAGCAAAAUGGAUCGGGGCGCUUUGUUGGGAACAGAAGACAUUUCUGUAUGAAUGGUGUUCUGAGAAGAAGGGCAGUGUCUAGUUAGGUUACCGUGGCUGUGAUAAAACCCCACAACUGAAGCAACUCGGGGAGGAAAUGGCUUACACGUCCACAUCGCUGUCCAUCAUCGAAGGAAAGCAGGACAGGAAGCCAAGCAGCGGAGGAACCUGGAGUCUGCUUGACUGGAUGCUGAAUCACCGCAAAAACACGCCCCAGGAUGCUACGAAGAUGAGAAGAUUCACCCUGAAUGUGGGCGGCACCAUGUCAUCCAUGGGUUGGGCUCCCACACAGAGUAGAAUGAAGCUCUGUGAGCUCCAGCAUCCACCUCUCUGCUUUCUGACUGGGGCCAGCUGCCUCCUGCCUACUUCCCUGCUAUGGUGUUCUAGAUCAUCUCAAACUGUCAUCCAAAGUAAACCCUUCCUACCUCGAGUUCCUUCCUUUUAGGGAUGACGUCAAGAAAAGCAGCUAGCGAAAGGAACACUGCAGAUGCAGACAGAGGUGAAGAGGAUGGGGCGAAGAACCCAAGUGAUGAACAAACGGGACAAAAACCGAGAUCAUCGAGGCCGAGGGCGGCAGGGCGGGGUGGGGUUUCCAGUGGAGACCAGGAGACAUACAAGGAGGCUGCUCAACUACAGCUUUUUAACGCUUGGGGCUUCUCCAUUCAAGCUUGCUUUACCACAUUCCACUCUUCUAAGACUGCCUGGGACACUGAGUGACAGAGCACACCAAGGACAGUCUGUCACUCAGGAGAGUCCAGCUUCUUCCUCAGACGGACAGCCUACAGGGGAUGAGCACAAACGAGACUGUUUCUCCCUCCCUGCUCUAGCCUUCAUCCAAGUUGAGAGUCGAAGCAACUCGAGAGCAGGUGUCACCUCUUCUGCUUGUCACCGGGUGGCAUCUGGAGGACUGCGCUCUGAAUAAAGUGUUCACUGUCCAUUAACAUUCCUGCUGCUGCUGGUUCUCCUGGAGCUGGCUAAUGGGCCACAGAACAACCGCAGCUCCUAAGUGACAAGCCACUUCUUAUCCAAGUGGUGCCUGGGGUCCCUCUCGAAGACACCAAGUAAGAGCUCUUCCCAAUUAAAAUGUUCCAGAUGAAGACCAUGACGUAUUCCCUGGGGAGGGCCCUGGCUGCUCGAGAGCUAAAAGUAAUGCAUUUGUCUCACAGCUUCCCACUCUACUGCCCUUUAAAUGGGAAAACAAUUAUUUUCAUCAUCCUCAGCAGGAAGUUGCCCAGAGCCAAAACAGGUUCUCCGAGCAUCCUUGAGGGACCUGGACCAGGGGGAGAGAUGGGCCCAAGAGUUCCUGACUGAUGCAAUAUGAGGACAUUCCCCAGUAGACACACUCCUCACGUCUGAGCUCAAGAUAAUAAAUUAAAAAGUUUAGGAAAACAACCCUAAACUGUGCUCUACCUCAGUUUCCAGAAUGAGCGACAGGCUGGGCCCAUGAUAGACCAGCUUAACAGCCAGGAAUCAACAAAGAGCCCAUAGACACACAGAAUCCACUCUGGAAGACCCAAGCCUUUUGUGGCACCCUGCCAUGAGCACACAGGGCACACCAAAGCAUUCUUGCCCUCUGCCUUGUCUUUUGUUUGGUUGUAAAGCCUCCUGUAAAAGGCCUUUCCCCGUUCCAACACCAGAGUCCUUCGUAGAAACUCUCUAACAACUUGUUUAAUUAGCAGGGCUCAGAAUCCAACCUCAGCUGGGCUUUACCUCUGUGUACAAUGGGGACCCUUGGAAACUCAUUACAAUGAAAUUACUUAAAAUGACUGUGAACUCCUGUGAGCUCACUUUGAUCUUAAACAAAAUCUAUCGCUUGACAUAUUUGAGGAGAUGGAUCUGUUGUUGGGGAAGAGAAUGGUUUAAAAAAAAAAAAAGACAAGUAACAGGUAAUAUACAGAAUUCUAGAAGAAUCACAAAUAUCCCGGUAUCAAAUUGCACCCAUGGCGCUCUGGUCUGUGCAAAUCUGUUUUGUGAGGAAAAUAAAUCCCUUGGCCAGUUGCUGUUUUGUGAGUUCUCCUUAACUGUGGCAUUUAUGACCACUCUGUCCUCAUCUAAACCUUGAUGUUCAUGGCACUUUUCCAGAGUCUCUUCCUAGUUGUCUAGAUGGGCUUCCAUUGUCUACCCACAGACAACCCAUUCCCGAGUGCUACACUCCUCAGGCUCUAUACCUGGCCUUGUAUCAAAUGUUUGCCUGGAAGCAUUAAGCAUCACCCACUGACUCCAGACACACAAGACAGACCCAGCCCAUGGCAGCUUGUAGAAGGUAAGACCUUGUUCUUCCUCCUAGCCCCAUGCACACAGAAAUAAGAUUCAAACUCCAAUCAUAUUUACAAAUAGCUUUGGCAUAUAGCUAGGCUUUUCUCUGACUAGAUCUAACCUAAAAUAUCUCAUUUAUUCUAGCCUACACUCUACCACAUGGCUGGUUACCUGUGCUCAUGUACCAUGUGUCUGCCUCAGCUCAUCUUUCCGAUGAAUUUCCCUCCUAGCUCUCUCCCAGAAUCCUUCCUUUCUACCGGAUGUCCCCUCUCUAUUUCCUGCCUAAGCCAUAAGUCAGAGGCUUUUAAAUUGAUUUUAUUCAUAUAAUACACAAGAUACUCUCUCUACAGUUCCCCAUUUUAGUCUAAUAAAAGGCUCCUCUUUCAAAUAUAAAUUGAAUACAAUUAUGAAAUGAUUAUGAAAACUAUAAGGUAUGCAUACUCAGGGAUUUCCAUAUUUCUAGGUAAGGGAAAGAGGGUUAAAAAGAAAAAGGGGGGAUUUAGAAAUAUUAUAAGAAAUUAGACAUGCAGGGGUAGAUUAUUGAAUCUACUCAAACCACAAAACCAUUUUAUAGCUAUAAUCGUACAUUGGUACAGAAUUUUGUAUGAGACAGGCAAUAUUUGCUCGUUCAGUUGUGGUCUGAAUCUAUGAGAGAUGGUCUUCCAACAUCUCAGAGACUCACAGAGUAUGGCACUUGGGAAGAUGAUUUUUAUUUAAGGCCUUCUUGACACUCAGACGUGUCAGCUCCUGGCAGCACCCCAUUCGACCUGGACAAGGAACACUGAAAGAUGGAGUUGCUUCAACUGUGGCAAGCCAACCUGAGCAAAGAAAAUGCCCCAACUUUAUCUGCAGACAGAAUGCUGUCCAGAAAGAACAAACAGAUGCAGAGCAAAUGACUACCAUGGCCUGCCAAGACACGGUAAGCAAGUCCGUCAUAAUCCCUGCUUCAUUUAAGGUCUGUCAGAUACUCUGGGCCAGAAGGUUGAAGACGGAUGCUCCAACCUUAUAGAAGCAAUAUUGGGGACUGUCCAGGCUUUCUCUGUCAUUUCUACAAUUUUUUUGGAAGCUGUGUUCCUAUAUAUCCUACAUACUCAAGUAAUAUUUAUUUUUUUCUCAGGUCUUGGAUGGGGUUGAAGAUGAGAUAAUCAGAGUCUUACUAUAGGCUUAAGUUGUUUAAGAUUUAAAAGAAUGUUCUAGGCCUAGAAAGAUAGUUUGAGGAUGGGAAAACAGGUUAGGAUAGACAUUGAUUUAGAUACAGAACUCUGAACUCACCAGAAUAGGACAGAUAAUAGAAUACUUUCUCCUGAAUUGCCAAAUAUAAACAGACUGGACUUUUUGAAUGUAACUCUUACGUAAUAAUUUUCCUAAUAAUUUCAUAAUUGUUCCUAGGGUAUGCUGUUUAUUAUUAUAAGAAAAAGAACCUUUCUAUUGAGACAAAAAGGGUAGGGAAGGAAUUGUCGAAGUUUGGUUUGUUGCUAUGUUUUGUAAUGCUAAAUUCUAUACCUGAAGUUCUAGACCUACCAAUGAAUUCUCACAUUUACAAGCUUUUGUUGUGUACACCUUGUUCCUUGAUUUAAAACCAUUGGUUAAAUAAAACUGGGUACAGGCAAUUACUUGAGGGAUUAGAGGUAGAUGGGUUUUAAGUUACCUAGUUGGAGUUAGAGAAGAGAGACGAGUGAGAAGAGACAAGGAGAAAGAAGAAGGAGAGGAGAGGAGGACACCAUGAGGGGAGAUGGACCAUGGGCACAUGUCCAGGAAAAACAGCAAGUAUCUGGGGUACACCACUGGGAAGGUAGUCAGGCAGGCCAACAGUCAGAAGAGAAGAUUAGGGGUCAUUCCCCAGUAAUUGUCAAAGCCAAUUUUAUUUAAAAUAACCAUC
rnacentral:sRNA from 1 species